UACCCUUUCCCUGGUCUCAAAUGCCUCAAUUUCUACAACUUCGGAUUUCUAGGUUGACUAUUUUGUUAAGAAGACCACACCUUAAGCUGUGAAAUUCUGGAGCCACCAAACAAUGUUAUUUACUUGACAGAUUCUGCCUAGUAAUUGUCUAAGAUACAGAUGAAAAUUGAUCACUAAUGAAGACCGUUAACUCAAAACCUGGCCAUAUCUCGUAUAACAAGGGUAUGUCUGAGCUCUUCUGCUCAACCUCCUUCCAGCUCUCUAUUUCCCAGUCUUCAUGAUGGGUAUCAAGAAAAGGGAAAAUAAGAAAGACUUGGCAUUUGAGUUUUGAAGGUUAGAGCUGCAUAUUUGGCGAUCAAGAGCUCUCAAACUGCACCUGGAUACUAAUUCUGAAUGGAAGCUUACAAUUGUAAGAAUGUAAGACAUCAGACCCUAAAGAACCGAAGUUGUUAUUUCUGUGGAAGAGCAGCCAACCUAUUCUUACAGCUGAAACAAGGAAUCUGGCCUGCAAACAGUCUGUUAAGGCAUUCUCCAAGUUUCAAAACAAGAGUACACCAUUUUGAAGGCCUAUAAAUAGAAAGAAUUUUUCAAAUAUUAAUUCAGUAAUGACCUCUGUCUUUGGAAAAGAUAAUUGCAAUGUGUUACUGUGAACCAAUUUAAACCUGUAUUUCUCAUUGCAUUCAAUAUUUAAUUUUACUUUUUAUCAUUAUAUAUCAACAGUUCUUUCUGGAGCAAAGCAAUCUUAUUUGACUUUUUUUUUAACCUUGUAGUGCACACACACGUAUGUGCAGGGUUAUUUAAACAAGGAAACAUUUACAUCAAAAUAUGCAAAGAGUUAUCCUGGAAUAGAAAUGCUGAAAAUAUAUUUUCAAGAAGUUUUAAAAUUCUAGGCUGGCCUCAAUGUAUUCAGUAGCAUGUCAGAAACAGAAAAAAAGUUUAAUCUCUCCAUUUGCUUAUUCCUAUUAACAUAUAUAGAAAAAAAAGUUGCUCUAAACCUAAUGCCUAUGCAAUAUGUUUGUUUCCUGAUGCUGAUGGUAAAUCAUAACUGGGCACUUGGUUAUAUUUUUUAAUGUUCUACAUUUCUAGCACUGCUACUGUGUUCACAACGAGCUUUAUAUCUGACAGUAAUUUUAUUUUCAGGUUCAGUCAUAUGAUGCCUUUCUAUAGGAAUAGGUUCUAUCACAGGAGCAAAUUAUUUGAAUCUAGUUUAACAGACUCAGCAAUUCACCUCAGUUUUAUCUUGGGCAUUUUGUAUUCCUUUGCCUAAACCUAGUGGCUAUGUAACAAUUCAAUUACCAAAGUCCUUCAUCCAGAAAGUGCCGUUGAUUUCCAGUAAUUCUUAUUCUGUUUGAUGUCUUUUUUUUUCCUCCUAGUUUAACACAUGGCAGUUGGUGUUGACUGAGUUUAAAAUCUUGAAAUAAGCCUGGCACUGUGUCAGUACAUGGGUUAAAAAAUGAAACAAAAAUAUUUAAUAAAAUAUACACUAGAAAUGGAAAAUAAGAUUAGCAGUGGCAUUUCUUGUCAUAAAGGCAUUUUCUGUCUAUGCACACAAAAUAAAACAAGCUCAGUGCAGCUGAAGAAGAGAGGAAAGAGAGAUGGUAUAAACUGAAAGAUGAAAAGGCAGAGAGUGAGUGUACAGAAGCAUGUUGAGAGCAUGCAGCCAGCUGGCAAGAAAAGGCAACUCGAAGAGCCUCAGAAGGUAAAACCUCAGUUGGCAGAUAAAGUGGGUAAGAAGCAAGUUUUGAAAUAAAGUAGCAAUAGCAUAAGCAACUUGAAGGAAGAUGAAAAGAGCAAGGUGAUAAAAGUAUGGAAGAGUCUUUGGAGAUUAUUAGUAAUUUUAGGGAAUUACAGUGAUGAAAAGUUAUAAGGGAAAAAGACUUUACCUAUUCUUUAAUAAAAGAAAAUUACCUGUCAAAAUCUGUCUGCAUAGACACUAGUAUUAGAUUCUCUUUCUUCAAGAAAAAGGCAUGUCUGCUGGUCAGAUUGAGGUUCAUCUAUCCUCCAUUUCUCUAAAUAAUGUUU